GUAUUAUCUCUACUCCUUUAUAUUGUCUAAGAGUUGCCCUGUGACAUAAUAUAUGAUCUAUUUUUGAGAAGGAUCCAUGUGCUGCUGAGAAAAAAAGUGUAACUGCUUGAUGUUGGGUGGUAUAUUCUAUAUAUGUCAAUUAAAUCUAGGUUAUUAAUUGUGUUAUUGAGUUCUAUAGUUUCCUUAUUCAACUUUUGUUUGGAAGAUCUGUUCAGUGGCGAGAGAGGUGUGUUGAAGUCUCCCAUGAUUAUUGUAUGGUGGUCUAUUAGACUCUUGAACUUGAGAAGAGUUUGUUUGAUGAACAUAGCUGCACCAUUGUUUGGGGCAUAUAUAUUUAUGAUUGUUAUGUCUUGUUGGUGUAUGGUUCCCUUAAGCAGUAUGUAGUGUCCCUCUUGAUUUUGGAUUUAGUUUCUGCUUUUCUCGGCCCUUUUCUGUCUAAAAUCUAACCUCUUCUGCUCAGCCUAUCAGAACACAUAUUCUAUUCUAUGGAACGAAGUAUUACCUAUUGCAGAAGCAUAAAAUAAAAUCAAUUAAGAUUUUCAAAACCAAGUCAUUAUAAUUUUACCCUUCAAUAAAAUUUGUUUGUAUGGUGUGCUUACUACAGUUUUCCAGAUUAUAUCUAAAGCUUUUAUAUUCUAAGUGGCUGACUGAGUAGGACAUGCCUGAUGAACCUGUGUUAAAGAGAAACAUACAGGAGAAAUUUUCCUUUAUCUCUUGUGGCAAAGAUAGUGCCAUGACUUCAACAAACCAUGAACUUUGAACUCCUAAGUACUUCAGAAAAACAUAUUGUCCAGUGUUCUCCCAUGUAAGUGGGAUCAUGUGACUAAUUCUAGCCAACAGAAAUUGGUCAAAGUGAUGAGCCACUAAAACUUUCCUGAUCUUCUUCUCUCUCACUUUCCCUGCCAGGAAGCAGAGCACAGAUGGAGGGAGCCUUGGUAUCUGAGCCUUGGAAGAAUUUCACCUGCAGAGUUCUCCAACCAGCAUGAUACUGUUAAGUGGAUGAGAAAUAAAACAGUUGUGUAAAGUCACUGAAAUUUUAGAGUCGUUUGU
rnacentral:lncRNA from 1 species